CCUACGGGAGGCAGCAGUGAGGAAUAUUGGUCAAUGGACGAGAGUCUGAACCAGCCAAGUAGCGUGAAGGAUGGCUGCCCUAUGGGUUGUAAACUUCUUUUAUAUGGGAAUAAAACGUUCCACGUGUGGGAUUUUGUAUGUACCAUAUGAAUAAGGAUCGGCUAACUCCGUGCCAGCAGCCGCGGUAAUACGGAGGAUCCGAGCGUUAUCCGGAUUUAUUGGGUUUAAAGGGAGCGUAGGUGGAUUGUUAAGUCAGUUGUGAAAGUUUGCGGCUCAACCGUAAAAUUGCAGUUGAAACUGGCAGUCUUGAGUACAGUAGAGGUGGGCGGAAUUCGUGGUGUAGCGGUGAAAUGCUUAGAUAUCACGAAGAACUCCGAUUGCGAAGGCAGUUCACUGGACUGCAACUGACACUGAGGCUCGAAAGUGUGGGUAUCAAACAGGAUUAGAUACCCCGGUAGUC
rnacentral:rRNA from 1 species